rnacentral:snoRNA from 1 species
GCAGUCUGAAAAUCACUCGUGGUCUCCUGUGGCCCCUGGUGAGAUAGCUGUGCCGACAGCAUAGGGAACAUAAAGCUUACUGCCCGCAGUGGCUUGCGGGGAGUGAAACCCAUGUUCCCAUAGCC